rnacentral:rRNA from 1 species
GAUGGGGUAUCCCUACAUAGCGGGUGGCACCCACGGCGAAUGGUUCAUCAAGUCUUCAAAAAAGAAUAUACACGAUUGCAUUGCAAAUACUAACGGAUGCGAUCAUACCAGCACUAAUGCACCGGAUCCCAUCAGAACUCCGCAGUUAAGCGUGCUUGGGCGAGAGUAGUACUAGGAUGGGUGACCUCCCGGGAAGUCCUCGUGUUGCAUCUCCUUUUAUGUUUAACCUUUUUUUUUUUGG